GCGGGAGUGGCGGAACUGGCAGACGCGCAGGGCUUAGGACCCUGUGCCCACAAGGCUUGCGGGUUCGAAUCCCGCCUCCCGCACCA
rnacentral:tRNA from 1 species